AGAGUUUGAUCCUGGCUCAGGAUGAACGCUGGCGGCGUGCCUAACACAUGCAAGUCGAGCGAGAAGCUCAUGAUCGAAACUUCGGUUGAUUGAUUGAGUGGAAAGCGGCGGACGGGUGAGUAACGCGUAGGCAACCUGCCCCUUGCAGAGGGAUAGCCUCGGGAAACCGGGAUUAAAACCUCAUAAUGCGUUUCGAAGACAUCUUUGAAACGCCAAAGAUUUAUCGGCAAGGGAUGGGCCUGCGUCUGAUUAGUUAGUUGGUGGGGUAACGGCCUACCAAGGCAGCGAUCAGUAGCCGACCUGAGAGGGUGAUCGGCCACAUUGGAACUGAGACACGGUCCAAACUCCUACGGGAGGCAGCAGUGGGGAAUAUUGCACAAUGGGGGAAACCCUGAUGCAGCAACGCCGCGUGAAGGAUGAAGGCCCUUGGGUCGUAAACUUCUGUUCUAAGGGAAGAUAAUGACGGUACCUUAGGAGCAAGUCCCGGCUAACUACGUGCCAGCAGCCGCGGUAAUACGUAGGGGGCGAGCGUUAUCCGGAAUUAUUGGGCGUAAAGAGUACGUAGGCGGUUACCUAAGCAUGGGGUUUAAGGCAGUGGCUUAACCACUGUUCGCCCCAUGAACUGGGCUACUUGAGUGCAGGAGGGGAAAGCGGAAUUCCUAGUGUAGCGGUGAAAUGCGUAGAUAUUAGGAGGAACACCAGUGGCGAAGGCGGCUUUCUGGACUGUAACUGACGCUGAGGUACGAAAGUGUGGGGAGCAAACAGGAUUAGAUACCCUGGUAGUCCACACCGUAAACGAUGAGCACUAGGUGUCGGGCUCGCAAGAGUUCGGUGCCGCAGUUAACGCAUUAAGUGCUCCGCCUGGGGAGUACGUACGCAAGUAUGAAACUCAAAGGAAUUGACGGGGACCCGCACA
rnacentral:rRNA from 1 species